CAGCAGCCGCGGUAAUACGUAGGUGGCAAGCGUUGUCCGGAAUUAUUGGGCGUAAAGCGCGCGCAGGUGGUUUAAUAAGUCUGAUGUGAAAGCCCACGGCUCAACCGUGGAGGGUCAUUGGAAACUGUUAAACUUGAGUGCAGGAGAGAAAAGUGGAAUUCCUAGGGUAGCGGUGAAAUGCGUAGAGAUUAGGAGGAACACCAGUGGCGAAGGCGGCUUUUUGGCCUGUAACUGACACUGAGGCGCGAAAGCGUGGGGAGCAAACAGGAUUAGAGACCCGCGUAGUCCCUGUCUCUUAUAC
rnacentral:rRNA from 1 species